GGACCGGCUAACUACGUGCCAGCAGCCGCGGUAAUACGUAGGGUUCAAACGUUGUCCGGAAUACUGGGCGUAAAGAGCGCGUAGGCGGUUUGUUAAGUCUCAUGUGAAAUCUCCCGGCUCAACUGGGAGGGGUCAUGGGAAACUGGCAGACUUGAGGGUAGCAGAGGAAAGCGGAAUUCCCGGAGUAGUGGUGAAAUGCGUAGAUACCGGGAGGAACACCAGAGGCGAAGGCGGCUUUCUGGGCUAUUCCUGACGCUGAGGCGCGAAAGCGUGGGGAGCAAACCGGAUUAGAUACCCGGGUAGUCCACGCCCUAAACGAUGGAUACUAGAUAUGGGGGGUAUCGACCCCUCCCGUGUCGCAGCUAACGCAUUAAGUAUCCCGCCUGAGGAGUACGGCCGCAAGGCUAAAACUCAAAGGAAUUGACGGGGACCCGCACAAGCAGCGGAGCGUGUGGUUUAAUUCGAUGAUAAGCGAAGAACCUUACCAGGGCUUGACAUGCUUUUGACCGGCUGCGAAAGCAGCCUUUCCUUCGGGACAGAUGCACAGAUGUUGCAUGGCUGUCGUCAGUUCGUGCCGUGAGGUGUUGGGUUAAGUCCCGCAACGAACGCAACCCCUGUCGUUAGUUAGAAUGUCUAGCGAGACUGCCCCUAAACAGGGGAGGAAGGUGGGGAUGACGCCAAGUCAUCAUGGCUCUUACGUCCUGGGCUACACACACGCUACAAUGGGCGGCACAGAGGGUUGCGAAGGCGCGAGCCGGAGCUAAUCCCACAAAGCCGUCCCCAGUUGGGAUUGCAGGCUGAAACCCGCCUGCAUGAACGCGGAGUUGCUAGUAACCGCAGGUCAGCACACUGCGGUGAAUACGUUCUCGGGUCUUGUACACACCGCCCGUCACGUCAUGGAAGUCGGUAACACUUGAAGUCGCUGGGCCAACCCGCAAGGGAGGCAGGCGCCGAGGGUGGGACUGGUGACUGGGACGAAGUCGUAACAAGGUAGCUGUACCGGAAGGUGCGGCUG
rnacentral:rRNA from 1 species